rnacentral:rRNA from 1 species
CCUACGGGGGGCUGCAGUGGGGAAUAUUGCACAAUGGGCGGAAGCCUGAUGCAGCAACGCCGCGUGCGGGAUGACGGCCUUCGGGUUGUAAACCGCUUUCGCCUGUGACGAAGCGUGAGUGACGGUAAUGGGUAAAGAAGCACCGGCUAACUACGUGCCAGCAGCCGCGGUGAUACGUAGGGUGCGAGCGUUGUCCGGAUUUAUUGGGCGUAAAGGGCUCGUAGGUGGUUGAUCGCGUCGGAAGUGUAAUCUUGGGGCUUAACCCUGAGCGUGCUUUCGAUACGGGUUGACUUGAGGAAGGUAGGGGAGAAUGGAAUUCCUGGUGGAGCGGUGGAAUGCGCAGAUAUCAGGAGGAACACCAGUGGCGAAGGCGGUUCUCUGGGCCUUUCCUGACGCUGAGGAGCGAAAGCGUGGGGAGCGAACAGGAUUAGAUACCCAGGUAGUC